GCAACAGCUCAAAUUUGAAAUCUGGCCUUCGGGUCCGAGUUGUAAUUUGGAGAGGAUGUUUCUGGCAAGGCGCCGUCCGAGUUCCUUGGAACAGGACGCCAUAGAGGGUGAGAGCCCCGUACCGGCGGAUGCCUAGCCUUUGUGAAACUCCUUCGACGAGUCGAGUAGUUUGGGAAUGCUGCUCAAAAUGGGAGGUAAAUUUCUUCUAAAGCUAAAUAUUGGCCAGAGACCGAUAGCGCACAA
rnacentral:rRNA from 3 species